rnacentral:lncRNA from 1 species
CAACUUACUUUAAACGCUCCACUCGUCCGCCUCGAUCUCCUCCCUGAACGCCUCCAGAAACCUCGAGGAGACGCGAGUAGCGAGUGAUCACACUUCGAUAUCAUAUUUCAUACGCUCGCGUGAUCGUCGCUUCACCGCACACCCCAUCCCAUACCGCUCGCCGCCGUCCGUAGCUAAACGCCCAGGCUAAGAGUCCUAAAGAGCGAACCGACAAAACCGGGAGAGAGACGCCUGCGCCUCGCCUUUCCUCUCGUCUCGUCCUCUCCCCCGCGUGCCCUCCUCCGAGUCGUCGUCGUCGUCGUCGUCGUCCCUCCGUCCGUCCGCCCUCCCUCCUCGUCCUUUACUUACGCCUCGCCCGCGGUCUCCUCGUCCUCGAUCUUCGGCGCGAGGUAGUAGCGCACGUACCCCAUGUCCGCGAUGAGGUACUGCACGACGACGGGAAGCUCCUUGGACAUCUGCAGCUGCACCGUCGGCGCGAGCGGCGUCGCCUUGGUGAACGAGUUGAGGUACCUCAACGCGAACGUGAGCGUCACCGGCUCCUGGAGCUCGAUCACGGUCUGCUCCUCCUUGUCCACGGACGUGUUCUGGCGGCACGUGAUGUUCGCCUGGCCGAUGUCGCCGGUCGUGGAGAACUUCACGCCGUCCUUGGAGUAAACGCGUCAAGCUUUCGCUUUCCCGCCUCUGACCUCCGCGAGCGCUCGCCUCGCGUGCGCCACCUCGGUCGCGACGAACUUCACCCUUCGCUCGAGCGCGUUGAGCUCGAGCUCCAGCGCGGUCGCUUUCCGUUCCCAGUACGCCUCGUCGCCGCCGCCGUUGCCGCGCCACCACAGCACCGAGUCGAACACGUAGUCCGUGAGCCCGGAGAGGUACCCCCAAAAGAUCCGCAUCAAGUGCAGGGUCAUUAUGAACAACCCCAACAGCGAGAAGACGGCGAACGCGGCGAACGGACCGCCGCCGAUGAGCGACCCGGAGCCGUAAAACCACGCGCCGUAAUUCGCCUGUUUCAUCGCGAGCGAGCGUUUCAACCCGCCCUGUUUCAUCGCGAGCGAGCGUUUCAACCCGCGCGCGUUCACCUCUCCGCCGUGAUGAUGAUGAUUCGCGUCGACGCCCAUCACGUCGACGCCGUUGAUGGAGCCUGCCCUGGGCGUCAUCGGCGGCGAGUGCCCGUUGACGCUGCCUUGCGGCGUGAUGUCGCCGCUGUUCUUUCUCCCGCCGCCGUGCCCGAAGAGCAUGCGCCAGAUGACGUCUUUGCUUCCCUCCGGGAUGUUCAGCUUGGACGCGUCCACGACGUGGUCUUCAUCCGGGCUCCCGUUCAGCAUCGCGACGCCGUGCUUAUCGAUGAACGCCUUGACUUUCUCGCGGUUCAAGUGCUCCAUCGUCGCGCGGGCGAGCCCGAGGACAAUCUCCACGGACUUUUUCGACUCGUUCAACGUCGACUGCUCGAUCACCGUCCGCAGCAUCGUCGUCCGGUGAAACGGGACCCUCAGACCGACCCACAGCGUGCAUCGAUCGAUCACCGCGCCGUCCGGUCGAACCUUCGCGGUCGUCGGGGCCACAUCCCACCGCCCCUCGACCCUGAAGUAGUCCCCGUACGGAAUAUCCAGCUGCACUUGCGCGGUGUCGAUGACCAUCACGCCGCCGCGAUACGUCGCGUAAUUUUGCGACUGCCGGCACCGCGUCUGCUUCGGGCCGAUGGACGCGUUGACGGGCGCGAUGAACGUCAGGUCUCUCCCGUACUUCCCCGGGCGUCGCUCGGACGACGCGCUCGCGCUCGCGGUCGCGGUCGCGGGCGGCGUGUCGUCGUCGCGCGCGUCGCCUCGCGCGCAGUCCGUCUCCGCGAUCGACGUGGCGUGCGGCGUCCAACGGGUCGCCGCCACGUCGCGUUCGCCUCUCUUCUCGUGACACGUCGCGUUGAACCCCGCGCGCGCGCUGUCGCUCCAGACCGUCUUGAAGAACUCGUCCACGGUGCAGUCCAGCACCGUCUCCUGCAGCGUCUUCAUGUUCUUCGGGCGGUCCGGGACGUCGUCGUGCGUGAACGUCAAGCCUUCGCCGCAGCCGAGAAUCGUCCCCGACGCGACGUCGUCGUCGUCGUCGUCGUCGUCGUCGUCGUCGUCGUCCGCGUCGGCGUCGGUGCCCCCCUCGCUCGGGGUCGCGCUCUCGCCCUGGCGCUCGUCGUCGCCGUCGUCGUCGCUAUCCGACCGGGGACCCGCGGGCGACUCGCCGCGAUCGACGACGUCGCCGACGUCGAUCCCGAGCGAACUCUUCCGGCUGUUCGAUUUCCUCGGCGGUUUCCGUCUUGAGACGCUCCCCGCGCCGCCGCCGCCGCCGCCGCCGCCGUCCCCGGACGCGUUGCUACUGUUCGGGCCGCUGUGCGCGCCGUCGCUGCCGCUCGCCGAGCGUCUCCCGCUGCUCUUCCGCGAGCGCGCGCUGCUCGGCGACGCGGCGGCGACGGCGUCGAGCAACGGAUUCGCGGCGGCGCCGUCGACGCUCGAUUUCCUCGACGACGCCCUCUCGGAAUUUCGCCGCGAGCGCGACGACGAAAUCGACGACGACGCCUUCUUCGAGCCGCCGAGCUUGCUGCUCCCGAGGCUUCUCCUUCGAUCGCUCCUCGCGUCGUCGUCGCCACCUCCCUCCCUGGGCGUUCCGUCCGACCCGUCCCCGGCGCCGAGCGAGCUCGACCGCGCGAGGUUGAGCAUCGCCGCGAUCUCCGCCGGCGGCGCCGACGAAAACGUCGGCUGGCGGUGAUUCGCCUCCUCCUCCUCCGCGCGCUUAUGCACGUCCACGCCCGCGAAUAUCCGCCCGUACGGACACACCUGGUUCCACGCGCUGCUUAUCUGUUUAUACGCGCUGUCCGGGGUGAGGAACGACGUGAAGAACUCGCACUUACCGUUCCAAACGAUCUCGAUCGCGUUCGGCACGACCUUCACCGUCUUCGCCCUCCGAACGAUGGUGACGUUCUUCAACGGGAUCACCUUGUGCUUCUGAUACCCGAACACGUUGCUGUAGAAGCACACGUAGUUCUCGAACAGAUACAUGCGGCCCUGGAGGAGGAUCUUCUUGUACAGCGCGCAGAGAAACUCGUCCACGACGACCUCGUCCGGGGGCAGGUUGAAGAAGCGCGCCAGGCGCGCGUUUUUGUCCUUUGGCUUCUCGUCGUCCUUGCUCGCCAUCGACCCGCUCCGCCGGCCGACGCUCCCCGGGCCGCUCGACUUCCGCGACGUCGUCGUCGCCGCCGCCGUCGCCGCGGACGUCGACUUGGGCGAGGACGCCUCCGCGUCGUCGUCCGCGGAUAACGCCUCGUCGGAUAACGGCGGCGACGACGCGCCCGUCUCCAUCUUCGCCGCGCCGCUGCCCGGGGGCACGCGCGCGCUGAGCCCCGUCCCGGACGCGCCGCGGUCGAAGUCGUCGCCGUCGUCGCCGUUCAGUGGGAGCGGCACGAGCGUCUCGGACCCGCGCGGGUUCGUCGACGCGUCGUACUCGUUCGGGGGCGAUCCCGCGAACGACAUGCUCGUCGCCUCCGCGAAGGACGAACCGUAUCCGCUGCCGCCGGAGCUGCCGCCGCUGCGGGGACCGUCGUCGCUUUUGGGCGAGGAGGGAUUCGACAUUUUGUCGCGAGCGAUCCGAGACGAGACCCGCGGCCGGCGACGGCGUUCCCUCGGCGUCCUCCGCGAGGAUCGCGCGCGUCCGCGAUGAUCGCGCGCCGCCGGACCGUUCCCGCGCGCGCCCGAGCGUCCCGCCGCCUCGCGAGGGGGGACCCUGCGCGAGGACCGCGCCGCGCGGACCGUGCCGCGGCCGCCCGCGAGAAUGCCCCGAAUCGACCCGCGAAGCGACGAAAAUGCGAUCGAUGACUCUUCUCGCGCGUGACGAGGACGAGGACGACGGGAGGGCGCGCGCGGUCCCCGACCCGGGGUCACUUCUCCGAACGAACGACGCGAACGAUGCUCGCGUCGCAAGCCGGCGGCGCGAGCCUCGCGUCUCGCGUCUCCGCGGCGUCCGCGCGAUGCCGCGCGGAUCGCGCGACGACGACGGCGCCCCGGAAGGCGACGAUCGCGCGCGGUCGACGAAACCGCCGCAAGGAUAAAUCGCGCGCCACCACCACCGUCGACGACGACGACGACGACGCGAGCGCCGAGACCACCGCGGACGCGCUGAGCGACCUCGCGUCGCGCGGCGUGGACGUGGACGCCGCGACCGCGGCGGCGCUGGACGCGAGCGCGCGGGACAUGCUCGCGCGCGCGGGCAUCUCCGCGGACGCGGUCGCCGCGGAGACGCGCGGCGACGCCGUCGCGUCGUCGUCGUCGUCGUCGGCGCCCCUCCCCGCGGUGUCCAGGGACGACGUCCUCGACAGCUGCGUCGGGACGACCGCGUGGAUGCUCGCGAUCGGUCUGAUCGCGCGCGAGGGCACGUACUUCGGGCAGGGCGUGCUCCCGGACGCGGUCCCGGACCUCGCGAGCGCGCUGCCGCUCGUGGCCGCGCUGCAUCCGCCGUUUCCGCCGUCGGACCUCGCGAGGGAUCUGGGGAUCGCGGUUGGCGCGGCGGCGGCGGUGACCGCCGCGCGGGGGGCGCUGCUCCGAGCCUGGCCGGUGCGCGUCGAUCGAUCAAAUCACAACGCGACCGACCGCCGUCAACCGUCGCUCUCCUCCCUGUGUCCCGUCUCCGCCGCGCCGUCCGUUGUUCUCUCUCUGACGUCAGUCGUCUCCUCAUCAUCUUCGCCGUCGCCGCCGCCGCGUCGUCGUCAGGACUUCGCGGAGGCGUCCAACCGCAGCAACGCGCAGGUUCUAACGCCGUUGCGACCGUUCGACGUCGUCACCGUCGCCGUCUUGCCCGCGCUGGCCGAAGAAACGCUCUUCCGCGGUGCGUUACUCCCCGCCAUCGGCGUCUCGCCCGUCGGCGUCGUCGGCGCGGGCGUCGUCUUCGGCGCGUUGCACGCGGGCGGAGGAAGAAACGCGGCGUUCGCCGCGUGGGCGAGCGUCGUCGGGUGCGCGUACGGCGCGUGCGCGGUGGCGACGGGGAACGUCGCCGUCGCGAUGGCGGCGCACGCGAUGGCGAAUUACGCCAGCGCGGCGUUGUGGCUCAAGGAGAACCCCGACGCCGCGAAGGCUUAGAGACGCGCGCGCUCGCGUAGAUGUUGAUGUUGUUAACCGAAAUUAUUAUUGCUGCACCGAAAAACCGCUCGUCGCUCGACGCGAUCGUUCUUCACUCCUCGGGGCGGCGUCGGAGGGGCAUGCGCGGCGCGCGCCUCGGCCUGGACGAGUCCAGUCGCGACGUCCUCCUCGACCUGAUUUAUCGCCUGUCCCUCCGCGAUCGCGACGCGAAGGACGAGAGGAAGGAGCGGAAGCGCUCCGACGCGCGAAAAGACGACGAGGAGAGCGCGCGCGACGACGACGACGCGGAUCUCACCGAGGAGGAGCGCGAGCGUCGCGCGCGCAAGGACAGAGUCAAGGAAGCGCGACGCGCGGAGAAGACGCGGGAGAAGAAAGAGAAGGUGCUCAGAAAGGCGCUGAGGGAGGACCGGAGGAACCCGACGAAGGGCGGCGGCGGCGGCGGCGGCGGAGGAGGAGGGGAUGGCGUCGACGGCGCGGCGAUCGAAGGCCUCGCGUCCGCGCCGUUCGAGGUUGGAUCCACGGUGAACGUCAACGUCACGUCCACGAGCGGCGGCGGCGAGGUCAAAGUCGUGACCGUGAAGCGGGACGUCGACCUGAAGACGUUCUUGACCGCGGCGAAGGCGAAGCUGAAGCUCAAGAAGAAGCCCCUGAGCGCGAGGACGCACCCGGGCGGGGCGGAGAUAUCCAACACGCUGCGCGUGCUGCCGAUGUCCACGGUGGCGGUGAGUAACGACCCGCCGUCGUCCGUUACGAAACCCGGGAAGGACGACGACGAAGGUGAUGGUGAUACAAGAGAAGAAGAUGAUGAAGACGUCGUCGUCGACGACGACGACGACGCGGAAGAGGAAGAGGACGCGACGGCGAGGCUGAGAAGCGCGAUGGCGACGCGCGCGGCGAGAGAACGCGCCAAACGCUCGCGUCUUCGGCUCUCCGCGACGGAAGCGGACGCGGAGUCCGACGCGCUCGCGCGCGCGAUGACGCGCGCGCCGUCGUUCCCGCUGCACGACGCGCGAACGCGUCUCCCCGCGCACGGCGUCCGGGACGAGAUCGUGCGACUGAUGGAUAACGCGUCGGCGGCGGCGAUCAUCACCGGCGAAACCGGCAGCGGAAAGACGACGCAAGCGCCGCAGUACGCGCUCGAGCGCGAGAUCGCGCGCGGCGCCGGCGGUCGCUGCAACAUCAUCGUCGCGCAGCCGCGCCGCGUCGCCGCGGUGUCCAUCGCGUCCAGAGUCGCGGAAGAGCGCGACGAGCGCGUCGGCGACGUCGUCGGCUACGCCGUGCGCGGGGACAGUAAGGCGCGUCCCGUUCGUAUCGCCCCGCGCGCGCGCGUCGUGUUUCUCUCCGCCCACCCCUCGCUCUCAUUCGAUCCCGACGCGCCGCGACGCCUCGCGACGCCAACUGACGCGCCCCCGAUGAACCCCACCCCGAAAUCGAUCGCUCUCAGACGAGCCGGCGCACGAGGCUCACCUUUGUGACCACCGGCGUCUUGCUGCGGCGGUUGGCUUCCGACCCGACGUUGGAGGGCGUCACGCACGUGUUCGUGGACGAGGUGCACGAGCGCACCGCGGACGCGGACUUUCUGCUGAUUCACCUGCGCGAUAUCUUGCGCGCGAACGCGCGUGACGUGGACGCGUCGCAGCGCGACACGUGGCGUCCGCCGUUGCGGGUCGCGCUGAUGAGCGCCACGGCGGAUUGGGAGAAACUCGCCGCGUAUUUCGACGGCGCGUCGAUCGACUCCGCGCCGCCGCCCGGGAGGGUGCACAUCCCGGGCCGGACGUUCCCGGUCGAGGAGCACUUCGCGGAGGAGUUCGUGAAGCGCGGCGGCGGACGACGCGCGGUGACCGGUGGUCCGACAUCGUCGUUCGACAAUGUCAGGUGCGUCCCACACACUGGUCCCCAUACGACCGCGUUGGCGUGGUGAACGCCGAUCCUUAAGGACUUUCGCCGACGCAUCACUCCGCUCAUCCCUCGCUUUCAAUCCUCGCCCUCGACGCCUUUCAACUCCGCUUCUGACGCCUAUGAACUCCACCCCGACGUUCGCUCGUAUAGAGGUCCCCGCGGCGGUCCCCGUCCUCCCCCCGGGGUCGAUUACGACCUCCUCCUCGCCGUCGUGCGCACGAUCUGCACGAUCUGCGCGAAGGGAGAAACGGAGCCGCCGCCGUGCGAGGGCGCGAUCUUGGUCUUCCUCCCCGGCGCCGCGGAGAUCGCGGAGGCGGAGAAAGCGCUGCUUAAACGCCUCGGCGGCGACCACGAAAUGUACGUCGUCCCUCUCCACGGCCAGCUCACGCCGAAAGAGCAGCAGAGAGCGUUCGCGAAGCCUCCCGAUCGCGACGCGCGGAAGAUCGUGCUCGCGACGAACGUCGCGGAGACGUCGCUGACGAUCCCGGACGUCGUCUACGUCGUCGACAGCGGCCGCGUGAAACGUUUGACGCACGAUCCGACGACGCAUCUCGCGGCGUUGACGGAGGGACGCUGCUCGAGAGCGUCCGCGGCGCAGCGACGCGGCCGCGCCGGGCGCGUGAAACCCGGCGUGUGCGUGCGUUUAUACGAUCGCGACGUCGCGUCGAACGAGAUGCCCGAGACGGACCUCCCGGAGAUGCACACGGUGCCGCUGGAGUCGUUGGUGAUGGCGGCGAUGGCGUCGAGGCCGGAGACGUCGCCGGAGGCGUUCCUCGCGAGCGCUCUGGACCCGCCGCCGUCGGCCGCGGUGCGCGCCGCGAUCGCUCGGCUUCGAUCCAUCGGCGCGGUGGUCAACGCGGCGUCGACAGACGACGCGUUGAGCGACAACACUAAUUCUCUAACGCUCACGCCGCUGGGGUUUCAUCUCUCACACCUCCCCGUGGAGCCUCGGCUCGGGAAGAUGCUCGUGUACGCGGUGGCGCUCGGGUGCCUCCCCGCCGUGCUCACGGCGGCGGCGGCGAUGUCGUGUAAGCCGAUGUUUCACGACGCCGCGGAUAAAGCCGCGGCGACGCGGGCGAAGCGCGACGCGUCGGAUAAGAGAGGCGGCGCGUCGGAUCACCUCGCCGCCGCGGAGGGGUUCGACGCGUGGCGCGACGCCGCCGGCGGCGGCGGCGGCGGCGGAGGCGGCGGGAGGGGCGCCGUCUGCCGCGAGAUGAAACUCUCGUACUCGACGAUGCACGAGAUACACCAGGUCCGGAACCAGCUCAAGGAACGGCUCGCGGAGAGCGGUUUCAGACCGGACGCGCCCGCGGCGUCGGCGCACGCGUCGAACGACGAUCUCGUCCGAGCGGUGCUCGUCGCGGGGCUGUUCCCGAACGUAGCGCGCGUCGCCGCCGGCGGCGGCGGCGGCGGCGGCGGGCGCGGUUCCGGCGGGCGCGGCGGUAAACGCCAAGGCAACGGCCCUCGCGUCGUGAACAGUCGCGGCGUAGAAGUCACGAUCCACCCGUCGAGCGUGAACGCGUCCUCCGCGGAGCUCCCCGGGCCGAGGGAGGGGUACUACGCGUACCAGGAGGAGGUGGAGACGUCGAGGGUUUUUCUGCGCGAGACGACGGCGGCGCCGAGCGAAGCCAUCUUGCUCUUCGGCGGCGCGCUGUCCGUGGACCACGCCGCGAGCACGGUGACCGUGAGCGCUGGCGGCGGCGGCGACGGUUCGAAUUCCACCGGUGGGAACAAACCGUUCGUCUUCGCCGCGAAGCCGGAGACGGGGGUGUUGUUCAAGCUGUUGCGAUCGGAGUUGGAUCGACAGCUGGCGGCGGCGGCGGCGGAUCCGGAGGCGCUCGCGACGCGAGGGUUGGGGGGCACGGACGCGGGCGAGCGGUUGAUGGAGGUUCUGUUGAAGCUGUUGCCGGGCACGAGGGCGGGUCGAUGACGGUUCGGGCGCCGUCUUCUUUCGUAGGCGCGUAGUUUAAUAGUCUCUGCUGGUCAAGAGAGCGCGAGAGAGCGGCGCGCUUUUCGGACGCUUUCGGAUGACGAAAAGAUCACGAAUAUCUUGGCCGCAGAUCUAACAACAGAACGAUGCGCGCGCUCGCCCCCUCGCGUCUCGCGGCGGUCGCUCUCCGCGCUUCCGCCCCCCGCCGCGGCGUCCGUCGACUCGCCCGCCCCGUCCGCGCGUCCGCUUCCGCGCGCGAUGGCGACGUCAUCUUCGACGCGUACGAGAUCUUAGACGUCCGCGACGACGCGACCGCGAUCGACAUCAAAGACCGGUAUCGCGACCUGCAAAAGCGCUUCCACCCGGACGUGUCCGGGGACGACCCCGAGGUCCUCGGUCGCAGCGCCGCGAUCAACCGCGCGUACGAACUCUUGAUCGACAAGGAUCGGCGGCGCGACCUCGACGACGCGCUCAUGCGCGCGAACGGGGGGAAACGCCGUGAUCGCGCGACGCACGGCGGCGGGCGCGCGAUCGCGAGCGCCUUCGGCCUCGUCGGCCCCCUCCGCGAGCGGCUCCUCGCGCGCAUGGACGUCUGCGGCGGGUUCGACCCGGACGCGCGCGCGUGCGACCUCAACGUCGUCGCGGAGUUGACGGAGGCGAUCAGGGAGUGGGGGAAGAUGCUCGCGUUCACGUCCGAGAUGCCUCUGCCGCUUCCGCUGCGGUGCGACGACGUCGCGAACGGGCUGCGCGUCGCGUUCGUAACCUUCGCCGACGACGAGCUCCAAGAAGUCGGCGCGCUGUGCAUCACCGUGGAGAAGACUAGUACAAGUAAAAGACCCGCCGGCGAAGAAGAAGGAGAAGAAGAAAGAGGAGAAGGAGACGGCGGCGCGGCGAGCGAUGGCGUCGAGGUGAAGGUGCGAAGGACGUGGUCGGAGAAGGCGUCGGGCGCCGACGGCGGCAGGGGGGGAUUCCGAUUUCGCGGCGGCCCCGGCGACGCGCUCCCCGGCGAGGGACGCGUCCUCGCGUGCUUCGCGGAGGAGUUCAACUUUCUCGUCGUGGACGAUAACUUAUCCGGGGGGAAGAAGAACGCGGGGGGUAAGAGCGCGAACGACGAUCGAGGGUGGUUCGGGAACAUCGUGUCGAGCGUGUCGUCGUUCGCGCUGCCCGUGUUGCCCAUGUUGGGAGGCGGGAAGGUGGCCCCCGGGGGGAGCUACGACGGGUACCGGAUCAACCGAUCGGGGAGCGGCGAGUUCGGGAGCGUCGACGACGACGCGGGCGAUGGACUCUAGAUUGUUGUCGUUAUCAUCGUAGUCGUCGUCGUAUGAUGCCGAGCACGUCGACUCAUCAUUUUCCAUAAAAAAGCCGUCCACGAUCGACGCGAUCGCGACGAUCGAUUUUUCCGAGGCGAGUGGUUUUUUGAACCGUUGUCCGCGGUGACGCGCGCACUCGACGCGACACCGGCGGCAGCGACCGUCCGCCGCGCGCGAGGUUUUCGGCGUCCACGCGCGCGCGACCCCGCGCGCGACCCCGCGCGCGACCGCGAAGGAAACCCCGGCGUGCACGGCCGAGGGCGCGUGCACCGCGAAUCUCGAACGCCCUUCAGGGGUGCCAUCUUUUGAUCGUCGACGCGAACGCUCGUUCGUCCGACGCGAUGUCCUCGCUCGCGAUUCAACGCCUCGCGAUCGAGCGCAAGGCGUGGCGCAAAGACCAUCCGCACGGCUUCGUCGCGAGGCCCGUGAACGCGCGAGACGGCUCCGUGAACAUGCUCAUUUGGGAGUGCAAGAUCCCGGGGAAAGCGGGCACGCUGUGGGAAUCCGGGCUCUUCCCCGUCACGAUGUACUUCACCGAGGACUACCCGUCGAAACCGCCCAAGGUGUCUUUACCGGCCGGGUUCUUCCAUCCGAACGUGUACCCGUCCGGGAAGGUCUGCCUCUCCAUCUUAAACGAAGAGAAAGGCUGGAAGCCGUCCAUCACGGUGAAGCAGAUUCUCACGGGCGUGCAAGAGCUUUUAGACAACCCGAACAACGCCGACGCCGCGCAAGACGUCGCGUACAAGCUGUACAAGAAGUCCAAGGCGGAGUACAGCAAACGCGUGAGGAUCGAGGCGGCGCGGUACACGGAGACCGCGACCGGGGGGGCGGGCGGUGGGGGUGGCGGCACGAACGCGAACGACGCGGUCGUCAUCUUAUGAUAGACGCGCGACACGACGACGACAGCUGGCGAGAAGAGCGCGGCGAAACCAAAACGCGAAACAAAUAGUAGAUAGCACGCGUACUGUACCCCUCCUCGCGUCUUGUAAUAAGACACGCGAAGGACCGAGACGACUCGCCCGCGUUCGACGCGCUUUUUGUGAUGAUCACACGUUGUAUACACAAUGCACGUUUGUUUAUUCGUUCCCUCGUUUACCCUCCCAGCCCCGCCGCGUUCGGUCGGUCCGUCGCUCCGUCGCUCCCUCACACCGCCAGCGGCUGCGCGACGGACGCCGCCGGGGCGACGUUCUCGUCCCCUCCCUCCUCCGUGGCGGCUUCCUUCCCCUGAAUCUUGUUCCCCGCGCCGACGGUGAACGCCCCGGGGUUGAUCGCGACCGUCUUCGUCGUGUUGUUCGUCUUGUAAAUCCCGACGAGACGGUCCGCGAGCUCGAACAUGUUGUUCCGCAACGAGAUGAUCACAAACUGCGCGUUUUUCGUCCGCUCUUUGAUGUAAUGCCCGACGAUGGACACGUUCUUAAAGUCCAGCGCGGCGUCGAUCUCGUCCAUGACGUAAAGCGGCGUGGGCUUGUAGUGAUGCAGCGCGAACACGAGCGCGAGCGAGGACAGCGUCUUCUCGCCGCCGGACAAGUUCGCGAUGUUCUUCCAGCUCUUCUUCGGCGGCCGCACGCUGAAGACGAUGCCCUCGGCGAACGGAUCGAGCGAAUCCACGAGCUCCAGCUCCGCGUCUCCGCCCAACGUGAUCAUCUGAUACAUCUCCUUCAACCGGAGCGAGAUGACGUUAAACCCGGACAUGAACUCGUCCAGACGCUUCUUGCGCAGGUCGUCGUACUCCGCGCGCGUCGCGUCGCGCGCCUCCGUGACCGUCCGAAGAUCGCCCGCGCGUUCUUCGUACUCGCCCUCCUUGUUACGAAACGCCUCGAUCGACGAGAGGUCGGGUUUCAUGACCGCGAGCUCCUCUUCCAAGCGUUUCUCGUCCGCGACGAGCGCGUCUGUGGUCUCGCUCGCGAGCUCUUCGUCGCUCAAGAGCUCGGGCACGGGCAGCGACACCUCCGCGUGGAGCGCCUCCUGCUCCUUCCGCAACUUGGCGAGCUCCUUCGUCCACUGCUUGUUUUUCUCCUCGUUUUGCUUCCCAGCCUCCGCGAGGUCCUCGAUCUUCGCG